rnacentral:lncRNA from 1 species
GGGGGUGCUAAAUUAAAACGUUGGUCUGGCUUAUUGAAAUGACAUUAAUUAGCAACAGUCUUGGAAAUUUUUAAGGCUUGAUUUUGGAUAUACAUGAUAAAACUUAAUACUACUUUAGGAACUUCAGAACAAAGGAAGCAGCUUAAUGAUCCUGAGGAAAUUUCCUCUGAUGGUGGCCUUUAUAUUAUCAGAAAAAGAUCCUAUUUUCAGUUUUGUGUGGGCAAGUGUUUCUAAUGUAAAGAGAUAUAAAGAUAUAAAAUUUUAAAAAUUACAUCUUAAACCUGAAAAUUAUGACUUAUAGCUAAAAUGCCUUAAGCAUGAGGUUUCUGCUCAGAAUUCCAGUUUUCCCAGUUCCUUCCAGACCUCAGCCAGGACUUAAGCUGAUAUGCAAAUAGAAGAAGCCUGGGGCUCAACAGAGGGCAGAUUUCAGGCCCAAGGAAAAAAAAAAGGUUAAAGUGUCUUUUUCACCUGAACUCAAACUAGACCCCAACCAAAAAGUAAAUUAUAUGGUAUUUAUUAAUUACUGGCCAGCCAUCUUAUUUAGGACUCUUGCUUUUUCUUAGAUUCUGCAUUUUUUUUUUUUGGAGCUCAUGAUUUUAAUCCCACGGACGGGUUAAUGUUUUCUGAUCAGUUCUAUUUCUGAUCAACUGUGGAGUUUUUAAACAUUGCAAUGGAGAUUUCACCUGAAAAAGCUACAAGGGUGUUACACUUGUGUUAUGUGUUGUAUGUCGGUAUGUCUGUAUGUGUGUAUGUCCAUAUAUCCUGCAGUGAUAUGACAAUUGACAGAUGAGGAGCGCUCAUAAAAAAAAAAAAUUAAAAAUGGAUCCAAGUAUCUUUGAUUCAUGUGAUUCAAAUGGUUCAAUUUAAAUUGGGUAAACAGAUAAAAGUAAAGAUGUCUUUAAAAUUAAGCUUAUAAGUUUUUCUAGGUGUUCAAAAAGACCCUAAUAAAAUAAUGAUGUCUAUAAAAUAAUCUGCUUAAAUUCAGAAAUUUACAGAUAUUGUUUUAAAGUGUGAACAGAAGGAGGUUAACAGAUGGAAAAGAAAAACUAGAAAGUUUUAGAUAUGGAUUUAAUAGAGGGAAAAUGUGUUUCUGGAUAAGAGAGUCUAUGUGAUUAAGUAAUUAAGAAGGUUUAAGUAAGUGAUAAAAAAGGUUUGUGUAAGUGAGUUAUGUGUGUAAGUUUUUGAGCAAGUAAUCUUAAAGAAAAUUAAAGAUUAUACAACUAUGGUUAAACAACAGCUGUUAUUUUUCAAUAUUGUAAUGUUGUUACUUUAAAAGCUAACCUCGGUUAAUAUAAAAACAUCAAUGUAAUUAUGGUGCUAUUAAUGUGUUCAUAUCUUCCAGGUAUACAAGUCUGUAAGGUAGAAGCUUCAAAAGAACAUUAUAUCAAGCUGGUGUUCUAAAUUUGUAUGGUAAUUUUAGGCUUAAAAGAAAAACAUGUUGGAGAUUUAUUCAUAUCAUUUGUGUUCUACAACUGGACUUGUUAUCAAUAAGAUAUGUAUGGUUCCAUGUUACUUUCUACUCUGAGAUACAAUUUAUGUAUUUUUAAGUUAAUGAGAGCCUAAUCUGUGUGAAGGUUUUAUUGCAAAACACAAAAGUACAUUACUACUUUUCUACAAGAGGUUAAAAGCUUUCAGCCUUUAAUUCAUGUUUUAGGUGUGAUAUUAUAUUGUGUUAGCUAAUAUUCAUGUGAACUUGAGCAACAAUUUAUGUAGGCUUUGUAAAAUGAUGUUUGAAAAGCAAAGAUCAGUUUCAGAACUACAGUACUUAAGAUUUAUGAAGAGCCCUGCCUUACUUGAGAUAAGGCUCUGUCCCAUCUCACU